rnacentral:rRNA from 1 species
CCUACGGGUGGCUGCUGUAGGGAAUUUUGCGCAAUGGGCGAAAGCCUGACGCAGCAACGCCGCGUGAGCGAGACGCCCUUCGGGUUGUAAAGAUCUGUCAGUGGGGACGAAACUUGACGGUACCCACAGAGGAAGCACCGGCUCACUCCGUGCCAGCAGCCGCGGUAAUACGGGGGGUGCAAGCGUUGUCCGGAAUCAUUGGGCGUAAAGAGUACGUAGGCGGCACGGAAAGUCUGGUGUUAAAGGCAGAGGCUCAACUUCUGUACGGCAGUGGAUACUUGCGGGCUAGAAUGCGGUAGAGGUAAAGGGAAUGCCUGGUGUAGCGGUGAAAUGCUUAGAUAUCAGGAGGAACAUCGGUGGCGUAAGCGCUUUACUGGGCCGUAAUUGACGCUGAGGUACGAAAGCCAGGGUAGCAAAUGGGAUUAGAUACCCUUGUAGUC